GAAGGAAGAAAAGAACGUGUGCAAAGAAACACACACACACAAAGAAACACAGACGCGUGCACUCACAUCACGCAUUACCACUCCACAUACUUGUUUCAUAGUCGCUGGGCUGCCACACUCCUCCUGUCCCGACUGAGACGAGGUCCGAACGAGGCUCUUUGAUGAACACAACGCAACCACGCCGACGGAUUGACUUGAUCCCCGACCAAUCACAUUUGGCCCGUGGAUGUCCGUUUGUUUUCUGGUGAGGCUCCGCCCUCCAAACUGUCCUUAGGCUUAAACUGAGACUCUUAACUCCUUGGUAUGUCAUCUGGUUUGGUUCAAACUGUUGUUUGAACCAGACCAUUGGUUCAUAACUUUAUCAGAUUUUUUCAGUAGGUUUUGCCUUUUUUUGUUUGUAUGCACCUUUACUCGUCUUUCCCCAUGUAGGCCUACCUUGUGAGAGUUCACCUGUAACGCGCUGGUUGAUCUCCGCCAUGACGGGGGGUUUGGUCCACUGCUUUGCCUCACUGCCCGUUAGGGGGGGUUGGACGGAGAUGGGGGCAAAGUAAACACAGAACAAAUGUAAAUGUCCCUUCCCACACGGAAGGCGUGGAUUAUUCUGUGGGUGAGCUGGAGGUCCUGAGAAGAGAAGCACUGGUGUGUACGAAGUGCCUUCAGUGGUGCGCAUCUGGUAGACUCUCCGCCGUCUCAGGAUUGUCACUUGAUCCCUGACCCUUUAACCCAGACCUAUCCAUCUCAUCGGGAUGAACCCCAUGCAGGGCGAGCUGUACAAACAAGGGGAGUGUGGGGGUUAGCGUACUAUUCGACAGACAUCGUUGGCAUAAAAGGGGGCUUUAUGUUGACGUUGAAGUGUGUGAAGACAAUGUAUGUUUUGCUAACACAUUAUCAGUGUUCCUGUCUUAGUUCCUUAGUUCACAGCAAACUCCUAGUAAUUGAGGAUCCCGAAAUCACAAAAUGAAAGAUGUAUGUUAUUUUCGUCUCUCAUUGCAACUGGGAUUGUUGGGGCUGUUGUCACCAGCUAGCCUGGUCCUAUCUCGUACUUCAUUUCAUUUGCACAGAGAGUCUGGACCUAGGCCUACUCAAUUGACAACGUUAACUCACUUAAAGGCGGGUGACCCACUAACAUACCGCAGACCCAGACGUAGUACAGAAGGGAAAUUCUAAUUGAGCGGAAGUACUUAGGCGGGCGGAGCCAGGCUAGUCACCAGCCACGGUUGUCGCCAUUGUCACAGAAUUGUAAAGGAAUCACCAGUUUUCCUCUAUAACAAUCACAUAUACAGUUUGUUUAACAGGAGUUUAUUCCUUGAUGAAGCUGUGGAAGGCUUAUUUCCUCAACCGUAAUCAAAACAAUAUCAACUAUCCUUCAUGUUCAUUUUUACAAAGGAUUUUUUUUAUACGUUUCCAUUCUCUAAAACGGUGAGAUCAGAGCAUCAAUUUAGCAGCUCCAGAAUCUGCCCCCAAGGCAACGUCUUCAUUAAUGUUGGACUACAAUUACUAAGAUGUAUUAAAAGUCUGUGCAAGGAGCCUCUGUUUUGAAGAAAAGGUAGCGAUGGGCACUCUAUCAAAAAAAAGAUGCAUAACUUAAGCUUCAGAUAACACUUGUGAUAAGGGUUGACAGUUUAACACUACCUACGUUUUUUUUUUUUAUCAGAUGUUUUAUCUCCACUUCAAUUAACAUUGUUGGACCAAACCAAACGCUUUUCCGUUGCGGUUAAAUGGUUCCACUUUGUAAAAUCUAUUUUUUUUAACAAGCGAGGCAAUGGUGAGAAUAUAUCAUACCAGAAGUAUUCAGUGCUUAAUGCUAAAUGUUUUCCCUUCACAUCUCUCGCUGCCAUUUCUAUUUUUGGGAGAGCGCUUUCUAUCAUUAAAUCUCUUCUAGCGUCAGCGCUGGGAAUUCUGGCCAUCUAUCUCUCGCUGCUCUCUCCUGGUGGAUUAUAUUGGGAUUGGCCAGAGUUGUGUGUUUAAUCCACUUUUAAUUAAAGGAGAUGAUGAAUCCCUAAAGGUAAACUCUUUGAAGAGUGAGAUCCGACCAGGCUCACAUUUUAUAAAAUGGAGCAGGCUACUCCGCUUCUCCUCUCUCUCUCUCUCUCUCUCUCUCUCUCUCUCUCUCUCUCUCUCUCUCUCUCUCUCUCUCUUUUUCUCUCUCUCGCACUCAUCUACAACUCAACAAGGAAGCACUCACAGUGUACUGAAUUAAAGAAAAAGAGUGUCGGCGGGUAUAUGGCCUUCGACAAGCGAAUGAUGAAACGGUUUGAUUUUCAUUGUGAACAAACUAAAAAUACAGGGGAGAACAAAAAUCGGAUUGUUAACAGAGAGUUGCCAAUUCUAUGUUGCGUUGUGAAUAUAGUUUACAGCGCAGGUUGUCGAAGCGGUGAGGACAGAACAGAGCAGGACGUGGAGUGGUAUCCGCAAGGAAGCAGGCUGCUGGUGGAUAACACCUCUUCUCUCUCCGUGCUCCCGCACUACGGUGUGGCUUUGCAGAAGAAAAUCUUAGGGAAAACAAAUACAGCACUCACAGACGGCCCAUCCUACCUAUUUCAGAUGUUGUGGUUGAUUUUGUUUUCGAUAAUGUGCUCGUCGUUAUGCCAAUGUUCUGUACGUGUUGCUGGUUGUGGAUUCACAUUUUAUGGCUUUAAUUCGUUCUGUUUCGUUUCAUUCAAUGCAGCCUUUCUUGACAAAAAAAUAGAGCCAUGGGGUUCAGGAAGAACCGCGGUGUUCCUACAUGAGCUUACAGCCAUACUUCCCAUGUGGUUGGUGUUCACGGUCUGCUUUUAUAGUCCAAGGGAAAGGUCGCAGUCUCACUAUAAUCCAGCGCGUAUCAUCACCCCACCUUAACCACCCUUUCACCCUACUAGGCCUUACUGUAAAUACGUGGGUGUGCUUCUGUGUGUGAAUCCCUUUCAGCGUCCUUCACAGCUCGACGAAGGAACGGUCACGAUGCUGACCCGGCAUUCAAAAGAGAAGCUUAAUAAAUGGUGUGUGUUUCUUUAUACUUGCGUAUUCAGUUGUCACAUGCGAUUCUGGGUGGUGCCGCUGCGCAAGGCACGCAGUUUAAACUAGCCCACCGACCAGACCUUCGUGUGUGUGUGUGUGUGUGUGUGUGUGUCAACAACCCAAAGCCAUGCCAUUACCGAGAAUCCGUGGUUAGCGAUGAAACAGGGCGACCGUUGGACCCCGUAAGAGACACAACCUGCCCUGACCCUCGGAAUCUCUGAUGUUGGAUGUGGAGGUAUAGAGAACAGCAUCACGGACAGUUUUAUAAUUUAUUGUUCCUCGCUUUAUCUUUAUCUAUCCAUUCAUCCGAUCUGAUGUUGGCGACAGACUCACUUUUUGUACAAACGCAGUGAAAUGGAACAUGUAUAAAUGACUACCUUAGCUUACAGCCCCAGGACCAGGUGUACCUAGCAGAGGGUUGCGUUGUGUCUUGGGUUUGUGGAUAGCAAGUCUUAGCAGGGAUACGGGCUGAUCAUGUGGUCAUGCAUAGAGAGUGGAGGGAGGUGGGGGGGCGGGUCCAGGAAGCAGCCGGUGUUUAGAAUCUUCUGCUCCAAUCAGAACCACAGACACAGCAGCAGCGGUGUCUGGUUUGAAUUGUCCUUAUAUUGCUCAAGCCUAACUGUACAUAAUAAAGUAUUUGCUUGAAGCUACAAAAUGGAACCACUUAGACAACGUAUACUGUACAACUGGAGCUUUUUGCAUGUGUCUUUUUAUAUCGGACAGAAGAGUUCUAUAACCGUAAAACCAUACAAUGUUUUCAAUUGUGUCGCAGCCCGCAUGACCAAGGUGUUUCGGUCCAGACGUGAUUCUGGUGUACAUACUCACAUAAGAUAUGACAAGGGGGGAAAAGACAGACAAACAUAAAGAAAAAAAAAAAGGUAAAAAGAAAAAAAAGCUGGGAAAAAUCACUGCACAGUUGUCGAGUCAAAAUAACCUUUUUUGUAAAACUGUCAACAGCACAACUAUUUUGUAUUGUUGUUUGUACCAUUUUUUAAGAAAACUAAAAAAAGGAAAAAACAAGAAAAAAAAUAAUAACGUGUGUUGUUUUAAGCGUGUGUUUCUAGUGCCACUGCAAUUUUGGUUUUCAAAUACUGUAUACGACAUACGCAGCCUUGCAGAUCACCUUGUAAUAUAGUUUAUGAGCCGGCCACUCCCUGCCGGCGCACCCCCAUGUUAUAAAUAAAGUUUCCCUUCCU
ensembl:lncRNA